rnacentral:snRNA from 1 species
AUCGCUUCUCAACCUUUUGGCUAAGAUCAAGUUUAGUAUCUGUUCUUAUCAGUUUAAUAUCUGAUAUGUCCUCUAUCUGAGGACAAUAUAUUAAAUUACUACAAAGCACCAGCUGAUGAUGUAACUAGA